UACCGGAUAUGACAUUCUACCGCAUGGUGGUUGUGGAAAGUUUUUCGGCUGGGGAUGGGGCUCGCGGCCUAUCAGCUUGUUGUGGGGUGAUGGCCUACCAAGGCGACGACGGGUAGCCGGCCUGAGAGGGCGACCGGCCACACUGGGACUGAGACACGGCCCAGACUCCUACGGGAGGCAGCAGUGGGGAAUAUUGCGCAAUGGGCGAAAGCCUGACGCAGCAACGCCGUCGUGAGGGAUGAAGGCCUUCGGGUUGUAAACCUCUUUCAGCAGGGAAGAAGCGAAAGUGACGGUACCUGCAGAAGAAGCUACCGGCUAACUACGUGCCAGCAGCCGCGGUAAUACGUAGGGUGCAAGCGUUGUCCGGAAUUAUUGGGCGUAAAGAGCUCGUAGGCGGUUUGUCGUCGUCUGCUGUGAAAACCUGGGGGCUUAACUCCGGGCCUGCAGUGGGUACGGGCAGACUAGAGUGCGGUAGGGGAG
rnacentral:rRNA from 1 species